CUGUGGGAAGGACUGUUUUCAGGGAAAUUCCACCCCACAUUUUCCAUACAUAGCAUCAGUGCAUUUCCAUUACCUGAAAUGGAGUCACUUUUGGUUUAGCCUGGUACGAGAUCAGAAUCAGACUCAUUAAAUUUAGCCUUCAAGCUGCCGUCUUUCAUGAGUAGGCUGAUUUAAGCUGGAAAUAAGAGCAUUUAUGCCAGAGUAAGGAUUCCACAUGGAAAGAU
rnacentral:lncRNA from 1 species